GCACGACUCUCGGCAAUGGAUAUCUCGGCUCUCGCAUCGAUGAAGAGCGCAGCGAAAUGUGAUACGUGGUGCGAAUUGCAGAAUCCCGCGAACCCAUCGAGUCUUUGAACGCAAGUUGCGCCCGAGGCCAAUCGGCCAAGGGCACGUUCGCCUGGGCGUCAAGC
rnacentral:rRNA from 1 species